GAAAUGUGAGCAGAGCUAUGGCUUUUCUCGUUUCUCAUCCUGUGAGGAAGUUUUCUCCACAACAAGUGGAUCCUGGAAGGAGACGCUCGGGUCCUUACAAGAUGAGCAAAUCUGAUUGAGGCUGGUUGCUGGAUUGAUGACGAUCCCUGUGAUGGAUUUAUUGAAGUGUAGAUUUACAAGUUCUGAAAACAGAAAACUGCUGGAGCAAAGAACUGCCGUCUUCCUCGUCUCUGUCAGGAGUCACUCUCUGCUCUGCCUGGUGGUUUCACACAAAUCAAAAGCAACGAGAGAAGCUGAUUGGAGGAGUAACUGUAGCAUGAGCUACACCUGCGUCCAGUGAGCUCAGUCACAAAGGUCCCUCCUUUCUGCAGCUGACCUCACGUUGCAUGUCCUGCUUCGGAUAGCAGCUUCCUGAAGUUUUACUUUCCACGCACUGCCACAUGUCCAUGCACACUUUGCAUGAGUAACUCGCUGACAAACACGUUCUCUUUAAUUAUGUUCUGUAGAAUAAAUGAUUGUUUGCUAGUUAGUACCUCAUGUAGUGCCCCUCAGUUUUAUUGCAGCCUGUGAGAUGGGUUGUGACAGGUUUAACAGCCACAAUCGUCCCAGCAGAUUCAUCUGAGACUCUGCAGGCUUCAGACGGAACAAGAAUGGCUUGUUUGGAAGGGCUGCCAGGAGAAAAGCCUCUUCUCUUUUUCAAUAAAAAGAAGACGGCACAGCUUAGGUUUGCAAAGCAGCAUCUGAACAAACAACAGAGGUUUUUGAACAAUGUCCUUUGGAGAAAUGACACCAAAGCGGAGACGUUUCAAUGCCUCAUUUGAGAAAACCAAACACGGCAGCACCUCAUAGUAACUGUCAGCCCGGUGGUGGAGCUGUGAGGAUUUGGGUUGUUUGCAGCCACAGGACCUGGACACCGUGCAGUCAUAGAGUCAAUGUGAGGCUGAAGCCAGGUCUAAACUGGGCCAUGCAUCGGGACAAUGAUCCCAAACACAGCA
rnacentral:lncRNA from 1 species